rnacentral:rRNA from 1 species
UAUGAACAGUAAUUUGAUAAUCUUGGUAUUAGUAGUUAUGGUCUUUAAAUUAAAAGAAUUUGGCGGUAAUUUAGUCUAUUCAGAGGAACCUGUCCUGUAAUCGAUAUUCCACGAUGAAUUUUACUUUACCUAUGCUUGUAUAUCUCUGUCAUUGAAUGUCUUAUUAGGGUAUUUUCUUUAAUCUUUAAUGUGUAAAAUGUCAGGUCAAGGUGCAGUUAUGGGAAAGAAGAGGUGGGUUACAUUGAAUUUAUUUAUGGAUAGUGAAUAUGGAAAUUUUCUUGAAAUUGGAUUUGGAAGUAAUUUCUAUUAGAAUAUAGAUUUGAUUUUAGCUCUAAGUUAUGU